UGAGUUGCCGGGCGGCCACGAGGAUCUGCAUCCAAAUGCGUGUGCAAGUCGAGAUGUCGCAUCCGUCCCCCCAAGUCAAGCCCUCCAACCCCAGUAACCCUCGAGUCUUCUUUGACGUGGACAUCGGAGGGGAGCGAGUUGGUCGAAUUGUCUUAGAAUUGUUUGCAGAUAUUGUACCCAAAACUGAGGAAAAUUUUCGUGCACUGUGUACAGGAGAAAAAGGCAUUGGACCCACGACUGGGAAACCUCUCCAUUUCAAAGGAUGCCUUUUUCUUCGAAUUAUUAAGAAAUUUAUGAUUCAGGGUGGAGACUUCUCAAAUCAGAAUGGGACAGGUGGAGAAAGUAUUUAUGGUGAAAAAUUUGAAGAUGAAAAUUUCCAUUAUAAGCAUGAUUGGGAGGGUUUACUAAGCAUGGCAAACGCAGGUUGCAACACAAAUGGUUCUCAGUUUUUUAUCACAACAGUUCCAACUCCUCAUUUGGAUGGGAAACGUGGUGUUUGGCCAAGUAGUUAAAGGAAUAGGAGUGACAAGGAUAUUGGAAAAUGUGGAAGUGAAAGGUGAAAAACCUGCUAAAUUGUGCAUUAUUGCAGAAUGUGGAGAAUUGAAGGAAGGAGAUGAUUGGGGAAUAUUCCCAAAAGAUGGCUCUGGCGGCAGUCAUCCAGAUUUCCCUGAGGAUGCGGAUAUAGAUUUAAAAGAUGUAGAUAAAAUUUUAUUAAUAACAGAAGACUUAAAAAAUAUUGGAAAUACUUUUUUCAAAUCCCAGAACUGGGAGAUGGCCAUUAAAAAAUAUGCAAAAGUUUUAAGAUAUGUGGACAGUUCAAAGGCUGUUAUUGAGACAGCAGAUAGAGCCAAACUGCAACCUACAGCUUUAAGCUGUGUGCUGAAUAUUGGUGCUUGUAAACUGAAGAUGUCAAAUUGGCAGGGAGCAAUUGACAGUUGUUUGGAGGCUCUUGAAAUAGACCUAUCAAAUACCAAAGCAUUGUACCGCAGAGCUCAAGGAUGGCAAGGAUUAAAAGAAUAUGAUCAAGCAUUGGCUGAUCUUAAGAAAGCAGAGGAGAUAGCACCAGAAGAUAAAGCUAUCCAGGCAGAACUGUUGAAAGUCAAACAAAAGAUAAAGUCACAGAAAGAGAAAGAGAAGGCAGUAUAUGCAAAAAUGUUUGCUUAGAAAGCAUUCAGUUUUGCUUAUUGUGUGUUGUGUAAAUGCAAUAAGAAAAUGUAAAUUUUUUGUCUAUUAAUAUGAUCCCUAAUGUGUUUCUUUUGACACCUUAGUUCCUUAUUGUUUACAGUUUAGGAGUACUGAUAGGGGUUCAUGCUUAAUAAACGUGUCACAAUACAGUCAGUAAAGUGGUUUUGUUUGUUUCUUUGAGAUGGAGUCUUGCUCUGUCACCCAGGCUGGAGUGCAGUGGCACGAUCUCGGCUCA